UGUGCACUCCGCAUCACGGAUGCGGACCCAUUCAAUUGAAUGGGUCUGCAAUCACAGAGAUGCAGAACGGAAGCACUAGAGUGCUUCAGUGGUGUUUUUGUCCGUGCCGCCGCACCGCAAAAAAAAAUAGAACUAGUUCUAUUUUUUAGCGGUGCGGACGCAUCACAGACCCAUUCAAGUGGAAUGGGUCUGGAUCAG